CUCACUGCAGCCUGCAGCUCCUGAGCUCAAGCGAUCCUCCCGCCUCAGCCUAAGCAGCCGGGACUGCAGGGCUUGGGCUGUUUGACUUGAGUUGUUCAGUCUGGAGUUUGCUGGGAUGGAAAACCUUGAGAAUGCAUUUUGCUUAGCAUUUAGACGUGUGUCCCCUUCUCAUUUGCUCAGUGGAAUUACGAUUGCACUUGGAAAUGUGGUCUUGGGUGUGUUCUUGAGGCUGAACUUUUGUUGAUCUGGCAGGACAUUUAACAUCUGGCCACGAAGCCUGCAGCAGAAGUGAGUGAAAAACAUCUGCCUUAUAGUGUAUAUUUUAAAAAAUGACUUUGUUGUGUGAAUAAUUACGCUUUCAUUUACAGAUAAAUGAGAUCAGAAACGCUACUUUUAUAUAUUGUAGUUUUUAGUUCCUGAAUGCCCUUUGGAUUCACUUUUAAUAGCUUUUAGUUCCUUUUUGAAAAUUAUCAA